CCCAGCCGGAAGCUUACUCUGCGGAUUGUGCACAGUUCUUGAAGGUGGGAACAGAAGAGAAGGCCCGGGGGGGCCGGGGAGGGGGUACCCAGGCUCUGCACAGAUCCCUAAGGGGCUCCUGGCAGCAGGAAGGAAGCUACACAUCAGAGUUGGGGACUUGUGCCCUGGGGCUGCCUGGCACCUGGGGGCCUCCUCAGAGCCAGGGCUCUUUCUGGUUGAGGCUGAGACUCACUGGUGUCAUCAGGCCCCUCCAUGAAUGAGACAAACAAAACACUUGUGGGGCCCUCGGAACUCCCCACAGCGUCUGCUGUGGCCCCUGGCCCAGGCACUGGGGCUCGGGCAUGGCCUGUGCUGGUAGGAUUUGUGCUGGGGGCUGUGGUCCUCUCGCUCCUCGUCGCACUUGCUGCCAAAUGCCACCUCUGCCGCCGAUACCGUGCCAGCUACCGGCACCGCCCACUGCCUGAGACAGGAAGGGGAGGCCGCCCACAGGUGGCUGAAGAUGAGGAUGAUGAUGGCUUCAUCGAGGACAAUUACAUUCAGCCUGGGACUGGCGAGCUGGGGACAGAGGGUAGCAGGGACCACUUCUCCCUCUGAGCUCCCAUCUUUGGACCCUCCCCAUUCCCUCCAUGCCUGACAGCUUAGGGACAGUGGUUAUGAUAUGGGGGCCUUGAACCUCAGGGACAGAGGUGGCUGGGGCUUAAAGGUUGGCCAGGGAUGGAGUAAACCCCACUUCCCUGACACUAGCCAGCAAAGUGACAAUGACCCUCUCUUGCUCAAUAACUCUCAACUGUUCCCUGCUGUUCUCAGGAUAAAGCCAAACAAACGCUUGAGUGAUCAUACUUCUCAGCCUCUUGGUUUCUUUUCUUGCCUUCCCCUACUUUACUCUCGAAAUAAAUGUUAUUCUCCCUCCCACCACUUCCCACGCAGUUUCCCCAGGCACCUUUGCUCACAUUGGUCCCCCUGCCUACGCUACUCUUCUCCUAAAUCCUCUGUGACUGCAAUGGCCUGCCUACCUGCCAGCAUUUCAAAUAUGCCCAGAUGGUAACAUUUGUGCAGGUAAAAACCAGUGCCAAGCUUCUUUUUUUUGUUUUCCUGAGAUGGAGUCUCACUCUGUCGCCCAGGCUGGAGUACAAUGGCACAUCUUGGCUCACUGCAAACUCCACCUCCUGGGUUCAAGCGAUUCUCCUGCCUCAGCCUGCCGAGUAGCAGGGAUUACAGGCAUCCGCCACCACGCCUGGCUAAUUUUUAUAUUUUUAGUAGAGACGAGGUUUCGCCAUGUUGGUCAGGAUGGUCUGGAACUCUUGACCUCAGGUAAUCCACCUGCAUCGGCCUCCCAAAGUGCUGGGAUUACAGGCGUGAGCCACUGUGCCCAGCCAGCUUCUUAAUGAAAUAUUUUCCUACAAAUAAAGUGGGUAAUCUGGUUAUAAUAUAUUUUUCACAGGAAUAAAUAAAUCUAUUU
rnacentral:lncRNA from 1 species